rnacentral:lncRNA from 1 species
UGAAAAAUAUAAUUUGUAGCAUCUUAGACUUUUUUAACGUGUAAUCAUCGCUCUUCAUAGAAUUUGUCUUUAGAAGAGAGAAAAAUGUCAGAGUGUCGUCAUAGAGAAAAUUUGCCUUAAAAAAAUAUUAUUGUAUUACAUAGCAUUUGGCUUGAAAAUAUACCAUGCACCUGGCUAUAGAAGAUAAAAAGAAAAUUGCAACAACAAGUCCUAACAACUCUAAUAGAUUCUUAAGUAAAUUACAAUUAAAGAUUAGGAAGUAUAAUCAAAUAUCAAUCAAAUUCAAUCAAAAUUGUAAAAGAACUAUAUAAAGAACACAAAGUAUUCCUAAAAACUCUUUAAAAAAAUAAAAGAAAUAACAUAGAAAUUCAAAAAUAUACUAAAAUAGAAAUCUUAAUAAAAUAUUAUAAUAAAAAUCUUAAUUAUACCCUAGUCAAAUCCUAACCAAAUCAUAAAUAAAUCCUAGUCAAACCCUAACAAAUCCUAAUCAAAUCCUAAUAAAAUCCUUCACAAAUCUUAACAAAAUCCUAAUCAAACUCUAAAAAAAUUUUAAUCAAAUCUUAAAAAAAUAUUAAACAAAUCCUAAACAAACCUUAAACAAAUUCUAGUCAAAUCCUAAACAAAUCUUAAUCAAAUUCUAGUCAAAUCUAAAAUAAAUCUUAAACAAAUCCUAAUCAAAUCCUAAAUAAAUCCUAGUUAAAUCCUAAUCAAAUCUUAGUCAAAUCCUAAAUAAAUUCUAAUCAAAUCCUAAUCAAAUUCUAACAAAUCCUAAUCAAAUCCUAAACAAACUUUAACCAAAUUCUAGCCAAACUCUAAACAAAUCCUAAUCAAAUCCUAAUCAAAUCUUAAACAAAAUCUAACAAAAUCCUAGUCAAAUCCUAACCAAAUCCUAACCAAAUCCUAAAAAAAUCUAAAU